GAAGGACCCAACAUUCGUUGGCAUUGGAUCCAGAUGGCAAAGGCAAAAAUCUUUGAUGUCGAAGCGGGGGGGAUCCGGAAGUACGGAUCGUAAAGGCGAGCAGGCCCGGACGCUACGUAAAGCAAGCCAGUGACUUUGACGGUAUCGGCCCACCGACGUUCAAGCUGCCG